GGAAGGAUCAUAUGCGGGGCGGAGUGGCGGGUCGUGCGCGGCCGUGUGUGUAGGUUUGGGCCGUUUCCAAACGGCUUGGCGCCGCUUUCUGGGCGGCAGGGGGAGAGAAUUCCUGCGACGGAUCUCUUGGCUCCGGCGACGAUGAAGAACGCAGCGAGGGGCGAAACGUGGUGUGACGCGCACUGUGGAACAUUGAGUAUUCGAACGCACAUUGUGCCCUCGCAGGGGGGCGAUGGCGCGCACGACUGCGCAGCGGCGGUGGGGCGGCGUGCGCCCGCGGGGUUGUCGUUUUUGGGAAAGCGACGGCAAAACGGCGUUUUCUUAGAAACGAGAAACUGCGCAAAACGCAGUGCUGUAUGAUGCGGCGCGGCGGGGGCUGUUAGUCGUUUGAAGAACAGCGCCCAGCAGUUGGGCGGCGCGGCGGUUUUGCGGCCUAGAAAACGGCGAGCUGUUCUGCGGGGCGGUUGCGCGGGAUUCAAAGGCAGCGGCACGGCGCCGCCUUUUCAAAAGCGGCGUGCGCGCCAUGGACGACCCGCCGAACUUAAGCAUAUCAGUAAGCGGAGGAGGAGAAACUAACAAGGAUUCCCGCAGUAGCGGCGAGCGAAGUUGGAGCAGCCCGGAUUUGGAAUCGCUACGCGAGUUGUGGUCCGAGGCGGUCGUUGGGGCGCGCGGCGCAACGUCCUGGAAGGGGCGGCCGCAGAGGGUGAGAGCCCCGUGGCGCCGCGGCGCGCCGGCGAGCCUCGAGCGAGUCGUGUUGCCUGGAACGGCAGCGCCAAGGGUGGUAGGCGCCAUCGAAGGCUAAAUAGGGCCGGAGACCGAUAGCGCACAAGUACCGUGAGGGAAAGAUGAAAAGGACUUUGGAAAGAGGGUGAAGAGGACGUGAAAUCGCAGGGAGCGAAGCGCACGCCGGCCGAUGGGCGGUGUGCGGCCCGUCUUGAAACACGGACCAAGGAGUCGGGCUGCGGCGCGAGUUGCCGGGAGACGCCCGGGGGCGCACCGAGAGGGCUUUGGCGGGGGUGUUGGGCUGGCGGCUCGCCGCCGGUUUGACGGACCUUUGCCAAUGGCAGCGUGGCGGCCCGGACCCGAAAGACGGUGAGCUAUGCCUGGCGUGGGCGAAGCCGGUGGAAACGCCGGUGGAGGCUCUUAGUGGUUCUGACGUGCAAAUCGAUCGCGGAAGCUGGGCAUGGGGGCGAAAGACCAAUCGAACCGUCUGGUAGCUGGUUCCCCC
rnacentral:misc_RNA from 1 species